UACGUAGGGUGCAAGCGUUGUCCGGAAUUAUUGGGCGUAAAGAGCUCGUAGGCGGUCUGUCGCGUCGGCUGUGAAAUCCCGAGGCUCAACCUCGAGACGCCGGUUGAAACCAUCAGGCUAGAGUCCGGAAGAGGAGAGUGGAAUUCCUGGUGUAGCGGUGAAAUGCGCAGAUAUCAGGAAGAACACCCGUGGCGAAGGCGGCUCUCUGGGACGGUACUGACGCUGAGACGCGAAAGCGUGGGGAGCGAACAGG
rnacentral:rRNA from 1 species